UAAGAAGGGUCCUUUUGACUUAUAGGGUUGG
rnacentral:piRNA from 1 species